GAUGAAGAACGUAGCGAAAUGCGAUACUUGGUGUGAAUUGCAGAAUCCCGUGAACCAUCGAGUCUUUGAACGCAAGUUGCGCCCGAAGCCAUCAGGUUGAGGGCACGUCUGCCUGGGCGUCACAUAUCGUUGCCCAAUGCCUAUUGCAGUGCACUAGGAAUUUCUAGGGCGAAUGAUGGCUUCCCGUGAGCGUUGUUGCCUCGCGGUUGGUUGAAAAUCGAGUCCUUGGUAGGGUGUGCCAUGGUAGAUGGUGGUCGAGUUAGAACGAUACCGAUCAUGUGCAUGCUCCCCAAAAUAUGGCCUCUAUGACCCACACGCGUCUUUUGACGCUCAUGACGAGACCUCAGGUCAGGCGGGGCUACCCGCUGAAUUUAAGCAUAUCAAUAAGCGGAGGA
rnacentral:misc_RNA from 1 species